rnacentral:rRNA from 1 species
UGGUAAUUCUAGAGCUAAUACAUGCUAAAAACCCCGACUUCGGAAGGGGUGUAUUUAUUAGAUAAAAAACCAAUGCCCUUCGGGGCUCCUUGGUGAUUCAUAAUAACUUUACGAAUCGCAUGGCCUUGUGCCGGCGAUGGUUCAUUCAAAUUUCUGCCCUAUCAACUUUCGAUGAUUGAGUAGUGGUCAAUCAUGGUAUCGACGGGUAACGGAGAAUUAGGGUUCGAUUCCGGAGAAGGAGCCUGAGAAACGGCUGCUACAUCCAAGGAAGGCAGCAGGCGCGCAAAUUGCCCAAUCCCAAUACGGGGAGGCAGUGACAAUACAUACUGAUACAGGGCUCUUUUGGGUCUUGUAAUUGGAAUGAGUACAAUUUAAAUACCUUAACGAGGAACAAUUGGAGGGCAAGUCUGGUGCCAGCAGCCGCGGUAAUUCCAGCUCCAAUAGCGUAUAUUAAAGUUGUUGCAGUUAAAAAGCUCGUAGUUGAACUUUGGGCCUGGCUGGCCGGUCCGCCUCACCGCGUGUACUGGUUCGGCUGGGCCUUUCCUUCUGGGGAUCCGCAUGCCCUUCACUGGGUGUGUCGGGGAACCAGGACUUUUACUUUGAAAAAAUUAGAGUGUUCAAAGCAG